UGUCUGGAAUAUGAUUUAAUUCGCUGAAGUCCUAUUUUGUAGAAAUAUCCAAAAAGCGGUUACACGCACAAUUAACACACAGGAGCAUAAAACUUGCGAUUUGCAAAAAUCCGUCAGAUUGGAUGGUUGCAGAGUUAGAGUGUGAACGAUGAGGAGCCUGAUUCUGUUAUUCCUGCUUUGUGCAGUCUUUGCAGCAUUUACAAACGCUUUAGGUGAAAUCGAGAAUGAAGAAGCCAAUGACGUGAAUACAGAGAUAGAACAGGAUGAGAACUUUGAUGCCGAUAACCAGUUGUCUCGUGACAAUGGAGAUGAGGACCUAGAAAGCAAUGAUGAGACAAAGAAAGAUGCAUGGUAUCAUUCCUAUGGCCGCCGCCGUCGUUCCUAUGUCCGCCGCCGUCGUUCCUAUGUCCGCCGCCGUCGUUCCUAUGUCCGCCGCCGUGGUGCCUAUGUGCGCCGCCGUCGUUCCUAUUUCCGCCGCCGCCGUGCCUAUGGCGGUUAAAUUCCUUCAUGGAAAGUUCGUCCGCUAACUCUAUGGACACGGCACUGGCAUGUUCGUAGUUGUUAAGUCUGUACGAAUGCUAUUACUACAAAGAUAACGUAUAGACAGACUUAGAUGCCAUUUUUAAUCAAUUUCUAUACACAUUUUAGCAAUAUACUUAGCCUGGAAAAUUUUGUGUCUUACAUCGAACUAAAUUCUCA